UCUCCGUAGGUGAACCUGCGGAGGGAUCAUUACCAGAGAUGGCGGGCCUCCGUGCCCCCGUCCCCAACCCAUUGUUGACCAAAACCUUUUUGCCUCGGGGGCAGAGCGUCCGCCGCCGCCCCCGGAGGACCACCGAACGCUGUCUCUAUACGUCGGAGUAUUGAUUAAAUGAAUGAAAACUCUCAACAACGGAUCUCUUGGUUCUG
rnacentral:misc_RNA from 1 species